CCCCCCCCCCCCCCGAGCUUGCUUUCCUGCUGGGCCUUAACUGCGAGGAGCUCUUGACCCCACGAAGAAUGAUGAAGCUGGUUUGCGGCAACCAACGCCCCUCCCCCCGACUCUCCGCACUCUCUGGUGGGCACCACUGUCCAGGAAGCAGGAGUCUAGAACUGACACCUUGUUGCAGAGGGGACAUGAGAGGCAUCUCUAUCCUGCCAGGAAGCAGCCAGACUACAACUCUCCCGUGGUAAGGUGAAUCCACUGUAUACAGGAGCAUCAUGGGAGUUUCAGGAACAUUCUAGACCCACCUGUGCUUGAGGUAGAUCUCUUUUCCAGUUCAUUCUCUGGAGUAUUGGUCCCUUGCAUCUGAUACAGCACCAUACA